rnacentral:rRNA from 1 species
CCUUACUGCUAUCGGGAUAAGACUAAGCCAUGCAUGUCGAGCGCUCUCAAGCUAUGUAGAGAGCGCGGCGAACGGCUCCGUAACACGUAGUUAACCUACCCUCGGGAUGGGGAUAACCCCGGGAAACUGGGAUUAAUACCCACUAGAUGAUUAUACCUGGAAUGGCUUAUCAUCGAAAGAGUCUGGAAACAUGCUUCCAGCGUCGCCCGAGGAUGGGACCGCGUCCGAUCAGGUUGUUGGUGGGGUAACGGCCUACCAAGCCUAUAACCGGUACGGGCCCUGAGAGGGGUAGCCCGGAGAUGGAAACUGAGAAAAGGUUCCAGGCCCUACGGGGUGCAGCAGGCGCGAAACCUCCACAAUGCGCGAAAGCGUGAUGGGGUUAUCCCGAGUGCCGUCCGAUGAGGAUGGCUUUUCAUCGGUGUAAGGAUCCGAUGGAAUAAAGGGGGGGCAAGACUGGUGUCAGCCGCCGCGGUAAUACCAGCCCCCUGAGUGGUAAGGACGAUUAUUUGGCCUAAAGCGUUUCGUAGCCGGCUUAUCAAGUCUUUUGUUAAAUCCAACGAUUCAAUCGUUGGGCCGCAAAAGAUACUGUUAUGCUAGAGGACGGGAGAGGUCGACGGUAGUCCAGGGGUAGGGGUGAAAUCCUAUAAUCCUUGGAGGACCACCAGUGGCGAAGGCGGUCGACUAGAACGUGCCUGACGGUGAGGGACGAAAGCUGGGGGAGCGAACCGGAUUAGAUACCCGGGUAGUCCCAGCCGUAAACGAUGCGGGCUAGGUGUUGGGGCAGCCACGAGCUGCUCCAGUGCCGCAGAGAAGUUGUUAAGCCCGCCGCCUGGGGAGUACGGCCGCAAGGCUGAAACUUAAAGGAAUUGGCGGGGGAGCACCACAAGGGGUGAAGGCUGCGGUUU